AGAGUUUGAUCAUGGCUCAGAACGAACGCUGGCGGCAGCCUAACACAUGCAAGUCGAGCGCUCCGCAAGGAGAGCGGCGCACGGGAGAAUAACGCGUGGGAACCUACCUUUUGGUUCGGAAUAACACCGGGAAACUGGUGCUAAUACCGGAUAAGCCCCUCGGGGGAAAGAUUUAUUGCCGAAAGAUGGGCCCGCGUUGGAUUAGCUAGUUGGUGAGGUAACGGCUCACCAAGGCAACGAUCCAUAGCUGGUCUGAGAGGAUGAUCAGCCUCACUGGGACUGAGACACGGCCCAGACUCCUACGGGAGGCAGCAGUGGGGAAUAUUGGACAAUGGGGGCAACCCUGAUCCAGCCAUGCCGCGUGAAUGAUGAAGGCCUUCGGGUUGUAAAGUUCUUUUGACGGGGACGAUGAUGACGGUACCCGUAGAAUAAGCUCCGGCUAACUUCGUGCCAGCAGCCGCGGUAAUACGAAGGGAGCUAGCGUUGUUCGGAAUUACUGGGCGUAAAGGGCGCGUAGGCGGUUCGGCAAGUUGGAUGUGAAAGCCCGGGGCUCAACCCCGGAAUUGCAUUCAAGACUGCCAAACUUGAAUUCGGUAGAGGUUGGUAGAAUUCCCAGUGUAGAGGUGAAAUUCGUAGAGAUUGGGAAGAAUACCCGUGGCGAAGGCGGCCNCUGGACCGACAUUGACGCUGAGGCGCGAAAGCGUGGGGAUCAAACAGGAUUAGAUACCCUAGUAGUCC
rnacentral:rRNA from 1 species